UACGAAGGGGGCUAGCGUUGCUCGGAAUCACUGGGCGUAAAGCGCACGUAGGCGGAUCUUUAAGUCAGGGGUGAAAUCCUGGAGCUCAACUCCAGAACUGCCUUUGAUACUGGGGAUCUCGAGUCCGGGAGAGGUGAGUGGAACUCCGAGUGUAGAGGUGAAAUUCGUAGAUAUUCGGAAGAACACCAGUGGCGAAGGCGGCUCACUGGCCCGGUACUGACGCUGAGGCGCGAAAGCGUGGGUAGCAAACGGG
rnacentral:rRNA from 1 species